CUGCACAUCCCCAACAUCAAAUCUUUCUCCUUAAACAUCUCACAAGUUCUUUUUUUUAUUUCCUUUUAACCAAUAAAUAUUAUUCUUCUAGUUUUAGUAAAAAUAUCAGUAGUAAAGAUUUGAACCUUUCCUUUCCAACCAUCAAUGUUAAUCAUAUAUCUGCAAGUUUUUACUUAGAUUUUAAAGUCUAAUCUUAAAAAAUUUCACUUUGUUAUUUUGGUCCCAUCAUUGGCAGAUGGAGGAGGAGUGAGCAUUUCCAAGUUUCAACAUAAAGUUUAAAAUUUGCAAGCCGGAAUGUCCUGCAAACAACUGUUAUAGGUUCUGAUUCCAUUUUAAAGUUUAGAUUUAGGUUGAAUUUAACUACAACACUAACUCAUUUUAGAAUGUGUUUGUUCUCCAUUUAUAUACAUUAUUUUUAAGUAUAAGACUGGGAUUUCCAAGAAAGGGUGAAAAAUGAAAAAAGGGUAUGAAAGAGUUUGAGUGAAGUGUGCUUACACAAUCUGAUACAAGUUCCAGAGAAUGGAGUAUCUGUGGUAUUCUUUCGUGGGAUCAAACCAGAGAUAGAUUCUUUGCUCUCUAUCACCCUUGCCUCCGGUGAACACAUUUGUUUGCAGAAUGUAAGGUUGUCCUGUUCUGUUCCCCAAGAACUCAAAGUCUAUCUCAUCAUGCUCCGCGUUUUGGGAAGAUAACUGCACAGUUCCAACCAUAACAAAACAAAGGUCACGUUCACAUACUACACAAUGACUGAAGCAAAUAAAAAUAGAAACUUUUUUUUUUUUCAUUUUGUGCAUACAUAGAAAGCAGUGACUGUGCCAGCAGAAUCUCCAGGAACCAUCUUUAUGUACAUGCUGAAGUGACCAAACAAGUAAGACCCUUUGGACUGGAAGCCAGUACCUGUACAAAGUUGUAUAGAACAUGAGCAAUAAAGGGAUAGUUAACCUUAACUUUGUUACAAGAUCAAAAUCUCGUGUUUACUAGUGACAUGACCAAAAUAAUGUCGUCUUGAACUUUGUCUGGAUACAAAACUUUAAGUAAGUGCUUUUGAGAGUUUUUCUACCAGGAAAAGUUUUAUAUUUCCAGUUAAAAAAACUCUCAAAAGUAUUUCUAGCCUGUAUCCAAACAGAAUGAUAGAAUUUAAGUUUGAACAUAACUCGACUCGUGAGAGUUAGUCUUCACUAUUUUGGUCAUAUACUCAUAUCACUCAUGAAAUUUCUAAAGCCAUCUACAUAGGAAUGAAGAAGUUAUACGCACCAGUGUACUUGUCAAGAUGAAGCUGAAUGUCAGAACCACCAUUGAAAUAUUUGAUGUGAUCAAAGGCCCAUGUGGGCACGUAGUUUCGGCCAAAUUGUACAUCCACUGGCCUGCGUGGGUUGGCACAGAGUGCUGCAGAGGCCAGUGAUGCCAAAAUCACACACACCGUCCACAUAGAAGAAGAAGAACCCAUUUUUUCUGUGUGCCUCAGUUUGUGAAAUCUAGUGGCUAAUGCAGGGUAUUUAUAAGCACUAGACCCUGCCCUAAAACCCUUGUUCCUCUCUCUUUCCCUCUCUACUCUGUAUCCUUUUAAAUAUAAUUUAAAUUUAUGUAAAUACAUGGUGCAUCAUUUGAAAAAAAAAAAUCAAUUUUAUAGUAUAAUGAUUAACAAUAUAUUUAAGAUUUGUUUUUUAUAUCAGGGUGAGAGAGGGGUUAUAUCAGGAUGAGAGAGUUGGGGGAGGACAGAGAAUCCUGCAUUUUGCUUUAGUUAGGAUUUAGUGUUGGAAACAACUAAUAUUGAGACACUAUUACGCGUUUAUUUUAAUUGACUGCUAGCUAAUCUGCCUAAUCAUCAAUCAUUUUCAUAUUAGAGAAUUGUUAUUUAUUUACAAUAAUAAUACAUUUUCGCAUGCAUUUUAGGCUAUUUUUUAGAUCACUUCGAAUAAUUGUUUCCCGACACUUGAUGAUUAUUUACUCCAAUUAUAAUUUUUUUUAUUAUAUUUAACAUAAUUUUUAAUGGGAAAAAUAUUGAGAUAAGAUUUAGAGACAAAAAUGAAUGAUGAGGUUUUUGGUACAGAAAUAAAUGAUCAGUUUUUUUUUUAACCAUAGGGGAUAAUGGUUUACAUGGAAGAGCCAAUUAUUCUUUGUAAGUUAAUUAUGAAUGUCUUAAUACUCAUUGCAUAUCAUAGUGUCAAUUAUUAAUGUCUAAAUACUCAUUGUAAGUUUCUUUUAUUCGCUAUUGCUUUAGAUUUACAUUUACAUUUUUUUUUUCUUCUUAAAAUUGAACACAUGUAGGUUCUUUAGUACCUUCAUUAUUUGAGCUUUCAUUAUUUUACCUUGGAAAAAAAAGUGCUUCCUCUUCUUGCUUAAUUCUACCUUACUGUGUUUAAGAUAGUUUGUAAUUAGCAUCAUAUGUGCUAUAUUUAAAGUCAACAUUUUUUUGUAUGUUUUUUCUUGUGAUUACUUAGUUUCUUCAUAUCUCUAUUUACUAUAUAUCCAUACAAUUUAUACAAAUUGAUGUUAACAACUUGUGUUUGUGUUUUAAUUUUCUUGUUUUGAGAGAAAUUUUCACUAUUCUAAUAAUUUACUAUGUUAGCACAAACACUCAUCAUGUAUUCCGUAUUCCCACUUUACUUUAGAAAUUCAAUAUGUUGAAGUUCUUCCUUUAAUUUAUUUAGAGCCAAAUAAAUAUAAACAACAAUCAUAAUAGGAAAAGUAAAAGAGAGAUAAUAGGAUUAUAAUAUAGGACUAGAAAUUAAGUAAGUUGACUCCUAACAUAUAUAUUCACCAUGAUUGUAAUAUGCACAAUGAUGAUGAUCUAGAAGCAUUUAAAAAACUUAAAUUUUGAUAUAUUUCAAUCCUGACAUUUAAAUUAACCCAUUUAACUGAUGUUAAAUAUAGUGGAGUUAAAAGAUUAAGAUAAUAAUAAAAAAAUCAAAUAGUGAGAACUAAGUGGAAGAGCAAACAUACUAAUUAUAAAUUUAAUAUGUGACAAAAAAAUUCCUCUAAAUUUUAAUGUUCUUUCACAUUAUUAUCUACAAAAAAGUGUAGAAAAUCCUAUUCACAAUUGACCAUCUCUUUUAAGGAUGACAAGUAAUCGAAAAUAAUAACUAAUUCCUAAUCUAGCCUAUACUUUUUCAAAAAGUAGUUUAAAUACUUGUAUCUCUAUAAAAAAAAUAAAAGAGUCCUGAGUAUAUCAUUUAGUGUCUCAAUUUUUUUGAAAACCUAAUAUACAAGUAUACAAUAUCGGAAGUAUUAUUAUUAAAGUUUAAUGUUCAUGCAAAAGUGUAAAACAGUUUUAUAUCGUCAUUCAAUCAUAAAUUAUCAUUUAAAUUACUUUAAGAUAAUUAUUUUAAAAGUCAACAAACUUAUCAUACAUGAUAAAUUGUGAUUGGAUGAUUAUGUAAAACGUUUUACACUCAUACAUAACGUUUAUUUUCUCUUAUUAGUAUGGAAUGAAAUAGAUCAUCAUAAAAAGUUCACCCAUAAACAUAAAUAUUGAAUCUCUCCCUCGUUUGGAUAUUAGUAAACCUAAAACAAAGUUCAUAUAAUGAUCCAAGAUUCACUAUGUUUUAAGAGAGGGUUAUAUAAAUCAUUAGGGGACUAAUUAUAAGAUUGGUUGGAUAAUAAAAGAAAAAUGAAAAGAGAAAAAGAACAUGAAUUCAAUUUUCCUGUUAAUAAACAACUAAUAAUUAAUCAUUAAUAUUUGCUGAUUAAAAAAAUAUUAAGAUGAACUUUAGGUUUAACUUGUCUACAAGUUACACAUCUAUCAUAAAAUCUCUGGACAUUUUAUUUCACAUUGACAAAUAAGUUUUAUUAGAAUAUUGUUAUAUCUCCAAAAUCUCCUCUCUCUCUAAGUCAAGAGUAACAGUUUCUCUUUAAUUGCACCGGUUUUGUCAUUUUAAUUUAUCCAUUUUGAUUCUUUCUUUCAUGAAUCAAUUGAAGUAAACCCAGCGUUUUUAUUAAUCUAAAUGGAUAUUCACUUUAUACUAAAAGGAGCAAAUUAAAAUAACGAGGAAUUAAUUAAUGGACCUCGAGAUCGGAAAUAGAUGCAGCAACUAGCUGUUGUUGUUACCAUUAAGGAAUAGAACAUGCACUGAGUAUAAUUUUAAGAAUUCAAUAUUGGAUUGGUGGUGCCAAGGCUAAGAUUAAGAAUGAGUAAAGUAGAAUUACACAACAUAUAUAAUUUUAUUAUAGAGGCUCUGCUCUGUAUUCAAACCUCACUCCUCAAUUACACAGCUCAAACAAUACAAUGAUAAUAAAUAAUGGUAGGAAUAAAGUAUAUGGUAAAUGAUGAAUCAAUAAUACAAUAAGAAACUUAUGGUAGCAACCAUAAACAUAGUACUACAUGUGAAUUUAAAUGUCACGGUUUCUUCUACAUUCAGGUGGAAGCUGAGGGUAGCGGCUUCUGUCAGUGCAGUAGUUGUAGAUGGUGUAUUUCCUGCGCACCCACCUGAGCCAUCUCCAUUGAGAAGCAUCAAGAUCAUGAUACUGUGCUUGAUCCCACCACCUCUUGCCUUGUGUAGCACAGAACUUUGCAUUCACUGAAGCUUCACACCCAUCAACGUGGAACCCUUUGUAUUCUGCUAUGAAGGGUGCUUUGGACCAAUCUGUUUUCUCCAAACCACCCCUUGUGGCCCAGUCAUCAGCAUUCCACAAGCUGUUGUACACCUUCAUGGGUUGGUCAAAGGGGAACUUCACUCCCAAGCCCUUUAGGUUUUUGAACACCCUUAUUGGGAUGUUAUCCACUAGGAACCUGUGUGCAAACCACAAUUUGAUUUAUUAUGAUGUUAUUUUUUUGGUUGAUAACAAUAAUAAAAUUUAGAUAAGGUGAACCUCAAUAUUCAUCAGGAUCAAAACAGGACUUUAAGCUCAACCAACCUUUACAAAGAUACUUAUAAAUUAUUUAAUAAUAAGAUUCUUAAAAUUGACAAUGAGAUUUCAACUCACGUUCUUGUGGAAUUUGAGUACAACCCUUAUCAACUCUAUCACUUUUGUUAGUUUAUUAUGUUAUUAAGCAUAGUAUAGUACUCAUUGACAAGAUGUGGGGUUUUGAGGGGACUACUUACACAAUUUGAUACAUGUUCCACAGCACAGAGUAUCUGUGGUAUGCUUUUGUGGGAUCAAACCAGAGAAAGAUUCUUUGCUCUCUGUCACCCUUGCCUCCGGUGAACACAUUUGUUUGCAAAAUGUAAGGUUGUCCUGUUCUGUUCCCCAAGAACUCAAAAUCUAUCUCAUCGUGCUCCGCAUUUUGAGAAGAUAACUAUAGGAUUCCAAUCAUAGCAAAUAAACAAGGUUGAAGCAAAAAUUUGAAAACUAGUAUAUAUAAUUUAAUUAGAAUAUUAUUAAUAGUAUAAAGUUUUUAUACUAUUGUCUAAUUAUGAAUUGUCGCCUGUGAUAAAAUUGAUCACUUUUGUAAUAAUUAUUUAAAAAAAUUAUAUUUAGAGUAUGCAAUGUAUUAAAAUAGAAAGAAAUUGUGCAUACAUAA
rnacentral:lncRNA from 1 species